GUGCCAGCAGCCGCGGUAAUACGUAGGUGGCAAGCGUUAUCCGGAAUUAUUGGGCGUAAAGCGCGCGUAGGCGGUUUUUUAAGUCUGAUGUGAAAGCCCACGGCUCAACCGUGGAGGGUCAUUGGAAACUGGAAAACUUGAGUGCAGAAGAGGAAAGUGGAAUUCCAUGUGUAGCGGUGAAAUGCGCAGAGAUAUGGAGGAACGCCAGUGGCGAAGGCGACUUUCUGGUCUGUAACUGACGCUGAUGUGCGAAAGCGUGGGGAUCAAACAGGAUUAAUACCCUG
rnacentral:rRNA from 1 species